ensembl:lncRNA
UGGGACCUAGGGUUGGCUGCAGCCAGGGUUUCAGGGGUGUGUUGUGACUCCACUGUGCCAGGUGGCCCAGAUUUGGAGGUCAAAGACUGCAGUCCAAAGUCAAGUUCAAGGAGCCAGGAAGAGCAACAAGAGAAAGGACUGGCAAAAAAGAACUUGCAGAAGUGAGAAUACAGGUCAGGAGUCCCUGAAGAGUCCCAGAAGCAACAGAACGGCUUUGGAGCCAAGCUGGGCCAUGGAUCACACAGCUGAGGAGACUGACACUCAGAUGGCCCUGAAUGAGAGCUCCAGACCCUGCAGCUGGCCAUGCAGAGGGCACAGGGAGAUUGGCCAACGGUGGCUCUAGUUUGCCUGCACUGUAAGCUACAAAGAAUGGGGUUUAAAAACAAAGAAACGUCGUCUCGUGGUCAUUCUCUAAUCCUGGCGUGCAUCAAUCCUGGCUCGUCUUUCCAACAGGUUUGGGCCAGAAAUAACUUCACCUCCCUGCACCUAUUUGCUCGAUCCUGUGAAUGUUUGCCAGGUUGGUUCUCUGGCCCAAGAAAGGUGCUGCCUUCUGAAGGGGAAACUGGACUGUAAAGCAAAGACCAGGCUAAGAAAGUGCACCAGCUCAUCACAGAUGGUGUCCCCCAUCUGCAGGAGAAAAAAUCUGUAGAUAUAAACAGAAUAACAAAAAGUAGCAAAAUGUUUUUAGUAGGUAGAUUUGGAUAAAGUAUAUAUGGAAGUUCUUUUACUGUUUCCACAAUUUUCCCUUCAGUUUGAAAUUGUUUCAAAAUAUAGGGUUUUUUCCUUAAGCG